ACACGUAUCCACGUAUCAACCCCUCUGCGCAACACGUUAAACGUAAGGUUGGUCUUAGUCUGGCAACUCGCAUAGACCUCAACGAUGGAGGACUUUUGUGUUGAAGCGGUUUCGGCCGCCGAGACUCGGGGGUCCUGAGGUCUGAGUUGUUGGGUGUUUGUCGACUGGCCGCUAUUUUCCCAUCGUUAGGUUUUCUCUAACCCAAAUUUUUAACCCCUUUGUACUUCUUCUGUACUGAACCAAUUCCUUCGAGUUCUCUUCGCAAGAAGACUUGAACACGAAAGAUAUUACGAAACUAAAAGAA
rnacentral:misc_RNA from 1 species